AUUGAACGCUGGCGGCAUGCCUUACACAUGCAAGUCGAACGGUAACAGGUCUUCGGAUGCUGACGAGUGGCGAAUGGGUGAGUAAUACAUCGGAACGUGCCCGAGAGUGGGGGAUAGCGAAGCGACAGCUUUGAUAAUACCGCAUACGAUCUCAGGAUGAAAGCAGGGGACAGGCAGGCCUUGCGCCCACAGACCGGCCGAUGGAAGAUUAGGUAGUGGGUGGGAUAAAAGCUUACCAAGCCGACGAUCUGUAGUUGGUCUGAGAGGAAGACCAGCCACACUGGGACUGAGACACGGCCCAGACUCCUACGGGAGGCAGCAGUGGGGAAUUUUGGACAAUGGGCGCAAGCCUGAUCCAGCCAUGCCGCGUGCAGGAUGAAGGCCUUCGGGUUGUAAACUGCUUUUGUACGGAACGAAAAGACUCUGGUUAAUACCUGGGGUCCAUGACGGUACCGUAAGAAUAAGCACCGGCUAACUACGUGCCAGCAGCCGCCGUAA
rnacentral:rRNA from 1 species